GGGGGUAUGGUGUAACUGGUUAACAUAGCACACUGUCACUGUGCAGACUUGCUCGGUUCGACUCCGGCUACUCCCGCCA
rnacentral:tRNA from 1 species